rnacentral:rRNA from 1 species
GAUGAACGCUGGCGGCGUGCCUAAUACAUGCAAGUCGAGCGAACGGACGAGAAGCUUGCUUCUCUGAUGUUGGCGCCGGACGGGUGAGUAACCCGUGGAUAACCUACCUAUAAGACUGGGAUAACUCCGGGAAACCGGAGCUAAUACCGGAGGAUAUUUUGACCCGCAUGGUUCAAAAGUGAAAGACGGUCUUGCUGUCACUAAUAGAUGGAUCCGCGCUGCAUUAGCUAGUUGGUAAGGUAACGGCUUACCAAGGCAACGAUGCAUAGCCGACCUGAGAGGGUGAUCGGCCACACUGGAACUGAGACACGGUCCAGACUCCUACGGGAGGCAGCAGUAGGGAAUCUUCCGCAAUGGGCGAAAGCCUGACGGAGCAACGCCGCGUGAGUGAUGAAGGUCUUCGGAUCGUAAAACCCUGUUAUUAGGGAAGAACAUAUGUGUAAGUAACUGUGCACAUCUUGACGGUACCUAAUCAGAAAGCCACGGCUAACUACGUG